rnacentral:lncRNA from 1 species
UGACUCUGCAGGCUCUGAAACUCUGGAGCAGUACUCACUGCUGCUCUCUCUGGUUCCUCUGGUCUGUACCUAUACAGAUGGACUCAAUGAGGGACCAAACAAGCUUAUGAAUAACUCUCUUAAACUCCCCAAGAAGCCCCUAAAACUCACUCAACUAUCCAUGCAAAGCAUGCAAAAGAAAGCUGGACAGGACACUUUCGGCGGCAGGUUCGGCGGCCGAAAGUCCUCUCCAGAGACGAAACUCAAGCACCUUCGGCGGCCGAAUCUCAAUCUACGGCGGCCGAACCCUUUCGGGGGCAAGCUUCGGGGGCCAAAACUCACUCCAGAGACGAAAGUCUCACACCUUCGGCGGCACCUUCGACGGCACCUUCGGCGGCCGAAUCCCCCAAACAGAGCCGAACAUGCAAAACAGGCUGUGGCAGCCAAGCCACCAUGCAAGAGGUUCGGCGGCCGAAUGAACCUUCGGCUGCCGAACCUGAGUUCAUCCAGAACUCAGCUUCAACGGCAAACCAUCUUCUCCUUCCCUUCAACCACUCAAACCAUAUAUACUCCAACUCCUCAACACACAUAUACUCACGUAUAUGAUCACAGGGGUCCAAAACAAUAACCCCAAACAACAAAUCAAACAUAACACAGAAACAUGUAUACAUGCAUCACUCAUCAAAACCACGACUUCUCACUUAAACAUGCAGCUCUCUCCCUUAACUUCCAUAAAACCUUCAGAAAACACAUAAACAGGUUCAAGAGAAUUACUUACCUCCUGUAACAAGAAGCUGAACACUCUGAACUAAGGAAAACGGACCAACUCUCCUCAAACUCUCAAACUCGCACAAACGGAGCUUUUUGCUUCAAAACAUUCAAAACUUAGUUUGUUUUCCCUUCAAAACUUUCCACACCUGUGAAACCCUUAGCCUGAGCAGCUCAAAGCGUGCAGAUAAAGCAUGGGAGAUGUGACCAACUUCUGGACAUGAUCUGGUGAUAACACC